ensembl:snRNA U6 U6 spliceosomal RNA
GUGCUUAUUUCAGCAGCACAUAUACUAAAAUUGGAAUGAUACAGAGAAGAUUAGCAUGGCCCCUGCACAAGGAUGACAUGCAAAUUCGUGAAGCAUUCCAUAUUUAA